CCACACGACUCUCGGCAACGGAUAUCUCGGCUCUCGCAUCGAUGAAGAACGUAGCAAAAUGCGAUACCUGGUGUGAAUUGCAGAAUCCCGCAAACCAUCGAGUUUUUGAACGCAAGUUGCGCCCGAGGCCUUCUGGCUGAGGGCACGCCUGCCUGGGCGUCACG
rnacentral:rRNA from 1 species